GCAAACUUGGUCAUUUAGAGGAAGUAAAAGUCGUAACAAGGUUUUCGUAGGUGAACCUGCGGAAGGAUCAUUACUGAAGCACAAGGGGGAGUGCUGGCCGUAGGGCAUCCGUGCACCCUCCUCACUUCAUCCACACACACCUGUGCACCUUUCGAGGUGAGCCCUCCCGUGCCCGGAGCAGGCCGCUUGGCCCGAGGGCUCUCCUACACUUUCCCACAAACUCGUUUAUUUGACUUGGAACGUAAUCGCGGCGACGCCGCAAACCAAUACACAACUUUCAACAACGGAUCUCUUGGUUCUCGCAUCGAUGAAGAACGCAGC
rnacentral:misc_RNA from 1 species